GACGUGAGGUGCGAGCAUUAUCCGGAUUCACUGGGCGUAAAAGGUUGCGUAGGCUGUCCGAUGCAUUUUAUUUGAAAGGCUGUGGCUUAACCACAGAUUUGGAUAAAAUAUGAUCGGACUUGAUGACUAAAGGGGGUACUGGAACUCUACAUGUAGCAGUGAAAUGCGUUGAUAUGUAGAGGAACACCAAAGGCGUAGGCAGGUACCUGGGUAGUCCAUGACGCUGAGGCACGAAAGCAUGGGGAGCGAAAAGG
rnacentral:rRNA from 1 species